GCGUGGAGACGGAUCGUUUACUUUGAAAAAAUCAGAGUGUUUCAAGCAGGCAUCAUCGCUCUUGCAUGGAUUAGCAUGGGAUAAUGAAAUAGGACCUUGGUGCUAUUUUGUUGGUUUCGAGCACCGAAGUAAUGAUUAACAGGGACAGUCAGGGGCACUCGUAUUCCGCCGAGAGAGGUGAAAUUCUCAGACCAGCGGAAGACGAACCACUGCGAAAGCAUUUGCCAGGGAUGUUUUCACUGAUCAAGAACGAAAGUUAGGGGAUCGAAGACGAUCAGAUACCGUCGUAGUCUUAACCAUAAACCAUGCCGACUAGGGAUUGGAGGAUGUCCACUUUUGACUUCUUCAGCACCUUACGGGAAACUAAAGUCUUUGGGUUCCGGGGGGAGUAUGGUCGCAAGGCUGAAACUUAAAGGAAUUGACGGAAGGGCACCACCAGGAGUGGAGCCUGCGGCUUAAUUUGACUCAACACGGGGAAACUUACC
rnacentral:rRNA from 1 species